GACGAACGCUGGCGGCGUGCUUAACACAUGCAAGUCGAGCGAUGAAGCACCUUCGGGUGUGAAUUAGCGGCGAACGGGUGAGGAACACGUGAAGAAUCUGCCUUCAACUCUGGGGUAACUCCGGGAAACCGGGGCUAAUACCGGAUAUGAGCCUUGAUCGCAUGAUCGGGGCUGGAAAGUUUUUCGGUUGAAGAUGACUUCGCGGCCUAUCAGCUUGUUGGUGAGGUAAUGGCUCACCAAGGCGACGACGGGUAGCCGGCCUGAGAGGGCGACCGGCCACACUGGGACUGAGACACGGCCCAGACUCCUACGGGAGGCAGCAGUGGGGAAUAUUGGGCAAUGGAGGAAACUCUGACCCAGCGACGCCGCGUGAGGGAUGAAGGCCUUCGGGUUGUAAACCUCUUUCAGCACCGACGAAGCGCAAGUGACGGUAGGUGCAGAAGAAGGACCGGCCAACUACGUGCCAGCCGCCGCCGUAA
rnacentral:rRNA from 1 species